rnacentral:rRNA from 1 species
AUUGAACGCUGGCGGCAGGCUUAACACAUGCAAGUCGAGCGGGGUGAUGGUGCUUGCACUAUCACUUAGCGGCGGACGGGUGAGUAAUGCUUAGGAAUCUGCCUAUUAGUGGGGGACAACAUCUCGAAAGGGAUGCUAAUACCGCAUACGUCCUACGGGAGAAAGCAGGGGAACCCUUGUGACCUUGCGCUAAUAGAUGAGUCUAAGUCGGAUUAGCUAGUUGGUGGGGUAAAGGCCUACCAAGGCGACGAACGGUAUCGGGUCUGAGAGGAGGAUCCGCCACACUGGGACUGAGACACGGCCCAGACUCCUACGGGAGGCAGCAGUGGGGAAUAUUGGACAAUGGGGGGAACCCUGAUCCAGCCAUGCCGCGUGUGUGAAGAAGGCCUUAUGGUUGUAAAGCACUUUAAGCGAGGAGGAGGCUCUUUUGGUUAAUACCCAAGAUGAGUGGACGUUACUCGCAGAAUAAGCACCGGCUAACUCUGUGCCAGCCGCCGCGGUAACAC